rnacentral:lncRNA from 1 species
UUUUAUUCCAUUUUCCUCUAAGUCUGUUAUCUUCAAGGAUUUCUGUUAGAAUUGGUACCUGAAGAGAGUGAAUAAAUUUUUUACAUUUGCUGUAAUUUUUUUCAAAGCGUUAGUGCAUAACAAACCUACUACAAUAGAAAAUGUCUUUAAAGAAUAGUAGUUUGCUUGCAGACCGAGCAGCCCCUGAGGUAAGGCAGUCAAGGCUUCUGUCACAGCAAGAGAUGCUGCUGUAUUUACUGAAAUAUAGAUGAUCCUGUAAGAAACUUUUAACUAUUUAGGAUAAAUAAUUGCCUGUAAGCUGUUGUAAUGUGGUUUUAAGGACUGCUUUUCACAGCGCAGAGUCCCAAAGUACUGCAUUGUGACAGUAAUUCCGGGCAGAUUCGGAAUGGAUCGGCUCACCUUGGGAUUUGGAAUGUGUUGGUUGUGGAGAGCCUCUCUGAGCUCACGAGGAUGUUUUCUUGAUGGUUAUGGCUGCAGGGAUUCUCACUGCUUGGAAAACAUGAGGACGGGGACCAAGAAUCUUUUCGCUCAGUCUUCUGAGGAAAGUUUGGUUCGGGUACAAAAAGAAAGCAAGGAGAGGGGCAAGCUCCAUCCCAUCGCACAAAUGAUCUCUACGUGGAGCUGGAAGAGUAACAAGGGCUGCUUCAGCUGGUGGGAGUACAGUAUCCUUCCUGCCCCAGCACCAGUCAGAGGCAUGUGCUGUGAGCUUUGGGGUGUGCUGAUCCAAUGGAGGAAGCGACCGACCCCGUAUCCCACCUCCUGCAAGUGAUGCAAGAGAGGAGUGAGGUAAGCAAAGGGGAGAAUUAGAAAGCCAGCUGGCUGUGGGAUGGCUAUCCUCCAAGUGUGUAUUUUCCAUGGCACCUGCAAGCUUUCUUUGUAAAAGACCGAGCUCAUUGCAUUAAAUUUGAAGCAAUUGUAGGAGACAUGUGACUAUGGAUCUGAAUAUUUUUUGCAUUGCUUUGCUCUUGCAAUUAACUUGUUGGCAUAAAAGUCAUUAUCCAAUGACAUCUGGGAACAAAACAAAGCAUUAUCUGGGACAAAGAACUCCUGCCCAUCUUUGGAGCAGCCAUGGAGACAAACACUUACCUAGUUUCGUGCAAACAACCUGAUCACUUUUUUGGCAAUUGAAAUCAGCUGGCAUCAUCACAGUGCUUCAUAUUGCAUCCUGACUCCAAAGGUUGAUAAGUUAUAAAUGCUGGAGUCAAACGUGACCUAAUGCAGGCCUCCUGGAGCUGGGAAAAGCUUGCAAUAUUUCAACCACAGCAGGUGUAUUCUGUAAGCCUUUAUUAAAAACUGCUGCCACACACACCUCCAACAUGUGAUGGGGUCUUAUGCAGAUUAAAUCUGACAUGCUAUGGAGUCACUACAACCUUUUUCUUGCUCCUAAUUAAAGGAAAGAAAGCCAAAAAAAAGGAUGAAGUACUUCUAAAUGUGAGGCAGGUGGGCAGAAAUGAUUGUGCUGCGUUUGGCAGUCACUGGGCCUGAAGUUCACAAGAUGGGGAAGGUGCUUGACCUACUGCUCUUCCUGCUUGUGUGUCUAAAUUAAAUUGUAGGCUUUCUGUGAAAGGUAACUGACAUUGUUUAAUUAAAAGCCUCUCUUCUCUUCUACCUGUACUUCUAAUUCCCGUGCAGUGUGUGGGCACACGGUGCUUUGUCUUCUCAGGGUAUAAUUAGACUCAGUAAUGCAGCUGUCCUGUUUACAGUGCAAAUCCCUAUAUUGAUAAAUGGAGUAGAGUUAUGGAGAAACCCUGAUGGUACUUCAGACAGGGAGAGUGGAUGAUCUUUGCAAAUAGCUGGUGGGUAGAAAGUAAAUCAUUAUCUGCUAAUAAGGCUCUGAUUGCUGGCUGUUUUAUAGCAGGGAAGAUUAGAAGACUUGACUUUGCUUUGUGUUAGUCGUGGGCACGUACAGGGAGCACGUGGUUUGUUGACAGGCAAAAUCCUGAACUUGUGCUGUGAAUCUCUUUGAGAGCUCAUCCAACGUCAGAAGCCUUUUGGUGGUGCUGGUGCCAAGUGCUUUAGAAGUGGCUGGUCACAAGGAAUGGGGGGCAGCAGGUUUAGCUCUCCGAGUCCUGACUCAGAUGUGAGGCCCUGUGUUAAGCACCUGUCACCAAAUAACAGGAGACUCUGUGUCCCAGUGUACCUCUAGGUGAUGGAGUGAAUCAAGUCUGGGAGCGAGACCAUGCCGUUACCCUGGUGCUCAGGUGUGGGUCUGGAUCCUGAGGAGAGCAGAGGACUGACUGCAGCACUGAGUGCUCAGAGGGACUGAGGAGGGGAGGUCACUUCAGCUGUCAGAUUGCACAUAGCAGAGGCUGCUCAGCGGGGAAGAGAUGGGGAACAUAUGGUGUGGUGGGAGGAGGUGACAGUGGUACUGAAGAGUAAGAAAUUAUAAUAAGAAGCAAACUUUUGGUAGGGUGCCGACCUAGGAAAUGUUGCAGCAGAGGGCAGGAACUGGUGCAGAAGGUGGCUGCGUGCGCAGAGGAAUCAAAGUGUGUAAGGAGCUAUGGGAGCUAUGAACAGGGAUGAGCCUUGAAAGAGAAACUUGGGUAGUGCAGUCAGCUUCCAUCAUGCUCAUAUUUCUCAUGGCAUAUGUCAGCCACUGAAUUUCUGAUGUGAAUUAGAAGAGCAUUUUGAAAGCUCGAUGAUCUGUGCCCAUAUGUUGCUCCCUGAAGGAAUAAAAGUUGGGGACCUCUGCUGGUUCUGAACUUG